rnacentral:rRNA from 1 species
UUACAGCCAUAUCAGGUCAUAACACCGGCUCUCGUACGAUCAUCGAAGUUAAGCAACGUCAAGUUUAUCAGUACCUAGAUGGGUGACCGCAUGGAAAUACCAGCUUCUGUA